rnacentral:tRNA from 1 species
UAGCUCAGUUGGUAGAGUGCAAGGAUUUUAACUUUAAGGUUGUGGGUUCAAGCCCCAU